rfam:Alpha proteobacterium AAP81b AAP81b_Contigs_96, whole genome shotgun sequence.
CGGGGAGUGGCGCAGCCUGGUAGCGCAUCUGCUUUGGGAGCAGAGGGUCGCAGGUUCGAAUCCUGUCUCCCCGA